GUUGUCAUUGCUAAGUGUAGCUGGCAUCAAGAGCUAUGCUCGUAGCAGGCAUGAAUUGGCUGAAGAACUUGGCUAUGACAUGCAGAGAGAUGAAAUAUUUGUCAGAGCACAUACACGUAAAAUUGGAGUUCCUACCGCACAAGCGGAGACACUAAUUAAACAACCUGAAGAAGCAGCUGAACCACCAACAACACUUGCAAUGGAAAUUCAAUUUCAUCGACAAGAUGAACAAGUUUCUACUCUACUAGGGUGAACCAUCAAUUUCAUCGAUAACUAAACACAUGUAGUGCAGUUUGUAGUGUCAUUAUAAAUAGAUGAUGCAUGAGGCUACUAGAGUAUCUAGUUUCUAUCGGAAAUAGAUAAGAAUUAAGGGCACGAUAAGGUGAUACUAAAUCUGGGCUAUAGUAGAAC